rnacentral:tRNA from 3 species
UAUAUUUUAGUGUAUGAAGCACAAUAAUUUUUGAUGUUAUUAGGUAUAGUUUAAUUCUAUAAAAUAUAA